rnacentral:rRNA from 1 species
UACGUAGGGCGCAAGCGUUGUCCGGAAUUAUUGGGCGUAAAGAGCUCGUAGGUGGUCUGUUACGUCUGCUGUGAAAACCUAGGGCUUAACCCUGGGCCUGCAGUGGAUACGGGCAGACUAGAGGUAGGUAGGGGAGAAUGGAAUUCCCGGUGUAGCGGUGAAAUGCGCAGAUAUCGGGAGGAACACCGGUGGCGAAGGCGGUUCUCUGGGCCUUACCUGACACUGAGGAGCGAAAGCGUGGGGAGCGAACAGG